CCUACGGGGGGCAGCAGUGAGGAAUAUUGGUCAAUGGGCGCGAGCCUGAACCAGCCAAGUAGCGUGAAGGAUGACUGCCCUACGGGUUGUAAACUUCUUUUAUAAAGGAAUAAAGUGAGGCACGUGUGCCUUUUUGUAUGUACUUUAUGAAUAAGGAUCGGCUAACUCCGUGCCAGCAGCCGCGGUAAUACGGAGGAUCCGAGCGUUAUCCGGAUUUAUUGGGUUUAAAGGGAGCGUAGAUGGGUUGUUAAGUCAGUUGUGAAAGUUUGCGGCUCAACCGUAAAAUUGCAAUUGAUACUGGCAGUCUUGAGUACAGUUGAGGUAGGCGGAAUUCGUGGUGUAGCGGUGAAAUGCUUAGAUAUCACGAAGAACUCCGAUUGCGAAGGCAGCUUACUAAUCUAUAUCUGACGUUGAGGCACGAAAGCGUGGGGAGCAAACAGGAUUAGAUACCCGAGUAGUC
rnacentral:rRNA from 1 species